UCGUCAACCUUCGACGCUUCUUCUCUCUUUCUAGAUUCUGGGUUUCAUCACACCAACCCACCUCUUUACUCCCUUGUUCUUCAUUCCUUUCUCAUUGACAUCGUUCUUCUUCUUUGCAGGAUCAAUCGGAGAGUUCAAUCUCAACACUCCCUCUUGAGCUCUUCGAUUGAUAUCUAGAUUUGAUUUUAAAACAGUGAAAUUUGAUACCUUUGGUUUCAGUUGAACGAACGCAGAUUUCACCGGAGGUGCUCUUCUUAGUGCAUCAGCAUAGCUCACAGUCUUCUUUUGCAGAUACUCGGAAUUGAAAUCGAUGCCUCCAAACUUGACUGCACUUGAUUUUUCAAUUAGAGGUCUCUUCUCUAGUCCACUUUUGCUCCCUCUCAAUCUUAGCUCCGAUCUUCUUUGGUUGAUACAUCACAGAUUUGUUCUUCUCUUCAGCUUUUUUCUCAGUACACCAAGAUUGCAUCAUCUUUUGAUUUUCGACUUCAGUGUGUCCAGCAUCUUGACGACCAGAUUCAACAUUUUCUUUCGCAACCACCAUUGUAGCUUCUUCAUUUGCUGACAUUUUUAGAUGGAAACUCUUCUUGAUCAUUGGUAUCUCUGCUAUCUUUCUCCCAGCUGGAUCAUGAAUGGUACAGCCUCUUUGAUCGAAGCUCCAUUACCUACACGUAUAGGAACAUUGAAGCUUGUGUUGAGAUUUGAGAAUAGCUUUUCAUCUGAAGACAUAUGAUUUGUGCAUCCACUAUCAAUGAGCCAGACAUUCUCUCCAGGUGAUUCUUGAUCCUCUUGUCUUGCAGUAAACAUGUGGUAGCUUUCUUCUGCUUCAUUGUCUUCUUGGUUGACUUGUGCUUGUUCUCCAUUCUUGACUUUGCAGUCUUUUAUUAGAUGACCCACUUUGCCACAGUGAAAACAACUCCAAUUCCUAGUGUCUCUGUUUUUGUUGAAAUCAGGUCUGAUUUUUCCACUCUUAAUCCAACAUACAUCUUCAUUGUGAUUAUCUCUUUUGCAGUAACCACACCAUCUUUUUGCUCUGUAACUCGUUUGACCUGAAUUCUCUUUGUUCUUGUCUUCCACAUUUAAACUUCUGAACCGUGCAUGAAAGGCUCCUUCUGCAUCUUCUUCAUCUUCAGGGAAGAAUUUCUUUUCAUGUGCCUCAAGAGAUCCAAGCAGCUCAGCAUAGGUAACUGUUUGUAAAUCCUUAGUUUCUUCCAUUAAGGAUGACAGACCAGCAUAACUUUUUGGCAUAGAGGCUAGCAUUUUUACCACUAAAUCAAAGUUUGAUUUCCCUUCACCUAGAGCUCUCAUCUAAUUUGCUACAGCCUGAAUCCUAUCCGAAGUGCUCCAGGAGUUUCCAUGCUUGGUGUGAUGAAGAUGCAGAGAGGAUCUUGUCAAAGACCACAUCAGCCACAGCAUGCUGAAUAAUUUGGAGAGCAGCAGUGUCUUUAGCUUUUAGGGCCUUCAGGGCAGCAUCUUUUCCUUUAUCUGGAGUUUCAGUUGAUUGAGUUGUAGCUUCUGGUACUCCAUCUUUGACGACUUCCCAUAGAUCUUUAUUCAAGAGUGUAGUUUUCAUUCUUGCAGCCCAGAACUCAUAGUUCUGACCAUCAAAGACUGCAACCAGUUGAGAGGACUGCAAGUUCAACGCCAUGUUCCAAGAACAAGAUGAGCUCUGAUACCAUGUUGUUUUUCUGCUUAGAUCACAGGUUUGUUUUGUUUUUCUCUUAAACUUUCAUACUUUUCAUAGAUAGAAAAAACUUACAACAUCUCUUAAACACAUAUAUAGAGAUUGCACACUUGCACACAUAGUUUCUUUGCCAUAACUCUAGAUACUAGGAUCACUUACACAAGCAACACCACUUGUGUAUAGGU